GUUUUUGUAUUUUUUUU
rnacentral:sRNA from 1 species